GGCUGUGUCCCACUAGCCUGCGUUAUUACUUGCAUAACUGGUAGGACUGCUUUGCUGGAUUAUACUAUAUCUUACUGACAGAUCAAUGAGUUAAGAAACUCUCUCAGAAGCAGUCUUGGAGAUAUGACUUAUCUCUCAGAAGCAGUCUUGGCGAUAUACCAAAUCAUCUACUCAUAUAGAUGUAUAUCCAGUGAACUCAUUGAUAAUGCAACAACGCCCAAAACCAGAUGUACAUAAGUCAAGAGAGCGAUGGGAAUCCGAUUUUAAUACUACAAUUGAGGGGCUAUGGUAAGUAAUAUGCCAAGAUAGUGUGUCAGCAACCAUCAACUCAAGAUACAGACUUCUACAUUACAACUUCCUCCACCAACUCUGACACCUCAGAGGUUACAUAGAUAUAACCCUGAAAUAUCAGAAACGUGUUUUAGAUAUGGAACAACAGAAGGCACUUUUUGUCAUUCUACUUGGCAGUGUACUAAAUUACAAGCCUUCUGGCAUGAUGUUUGUGAUACCCUGGCCUUUAUUUUGGAGGUCCCUUUCUCACUUGAACCUGAAAUAUGCCUUCUGGGUAACUUCACAAAAUGUGAAUUUGAGGAAUAACUUCAACAUAAAAUGUACAGAAAUCACCCUUGCCACUAAGAAAAUGUGUUAGAUUGACAUGGAAAUCAGAUUCCCCUCUCUCAAUUACAAGAUUGCUCUCUGAAAUGAAUAAGUGUAUUCCUAUGGAGAUUACCUAUGCUUUAAGAAAUAAAUGUUACUACUUUGUGAAAA